rnacentral:rRNA from 1 species
UACGUAGGGUGCGAGCGUUAAUCGGAAUUACUGGGCGUAAAGCGUGCGCAGGCGGUUUUUUAAGUCAGAUGUGAAAUCUCCGGGCCUAACCCGGAAACUGCGUCGGAUACUAUCCGGCUAGAGGAUUGGAUGGGAGACUGGAAUACUUGGUGUAGCAGUGAAAUGCGUAGAUAUCAAGUGGAACACCAGUGGCGAAGGCGAGUCCCUGGACAACUCCUGACACUGAGGCACGAAAGCUAGGGGAGCAAACAGG